rnacentral:rRNA from 1 species
CGGAACGGGUGAGUAAUAUAUCGGAACGUGCCCAGUAAUGGGGGACAGCCCGGCGAAAGCCGGAUUAAUACCGCAUACGACCUACGGGUGAAAGCGGGGGAUCGCAAGACCUCGCGUUAUUGGAGCGGCCGAUAUCAGAUUAGCUUGUUGGCGGGGUAAAGCCCACCAAGGCGACGAUCUGUAGCUGGUCUGAGAGGACGACCAGCCACACUGGGACUGAGACACGGCCCAG